AGAAUAUUUCUGCGUUUUAGGGCAAUGCAUGAAUUGAGAUGACCAUGAAUGUCCUGGUUUUCCAGUGUGGCUGUUUGAAUCUAAACGUCAUGCUCCCUGUAUUCCUAUAAGUCACCCUAAAAUUUACAUCUUCUCUCAGAAUACACUGGAAAGGGCAAUACUGAGUGAAAUGUGAGAUUUACUAACAAUGACUGACUGCUCCCAACAUUUAAUGAACAUGUCAAUUACUAUCCCAUCUAUUGGAGAGAAUGGGGGACAGUCAAACAAGGCAUAUAGAGAGCUUGGGUCACA